UACGAAGGGGGCUAGCGUUGUUCGGAUUUACUGGGCGUAAAGCGCACGUAGGCGGAUCGUUAAGUCGGGGGUGAAAUCCUGGAGCUCAACUCCAGAACUGCCUUCGAUACUGGCGAUCUUGAGUCCGGAAGAGGUGAGUGGAACUCCUAGUGUAGAGGUGGAAUUCGUAGAUAUUCGGAAGAACACCAGUGGCGAAGGCGACUCACUGGACACAUAUUGACGCUGAGGUGCGAAAGCGUGGGGAGCAAACAGG
rnacentral:rRNA from 1 species